rnacentral:ncRNA from 1 species
GCGAGCCGUAUGAAUUGAAAGGUUCACGUACGGUUCUGAGGGCAGUUUCAGAACCUAAAGGGAUUCCCUCUGGUCUAAAGACCAGAGCAUUCCUCUGGUCUAAAGACCAGAGCAUUCCCUAUGGAACUUCUUCUGACCCCUAC